UAUUGGUCAAUGGGCGGAAGGCUGAACCAGCCAUGCCGCGUACAGGAUGACUGCCCUAUGGGUUGUAAACUGCUUUUGUCCGGGAAUAAACCUCUUUACGAGUAGGGUGCUGAUUGUACCGGAAGAAUAAGGAUCGGCUAACUCCGUGCCAGCAGCCGCGGUAAUACGGAGGAUCCGAGCGUUAUCCGGAUUUAUUGGGUUUAAAGGGUGCGUAUGCGGCCUGUUAAGUCAGGGGUGAAAUACGGUGGCUCAACCAUCGCAGUGCCUUUGAUACUGACGGGCUUGAAUCCAUAUGAAGUGGGCGGAAUAAGACAAGUAGCGGUGAAAUGCAUAGAUAUGUCUUAGAACUCCGAUUGCGAAGGCAGCUCACUAAGCUGGUAUUGACGCUGAUGCACGAAAGCGUGGGGAUCGAACAGG
rnacentral:rRNA from 1 species